GCCUACAAGAAGAAUAUUCAAACGUUAGUUGAACUUCAUUUAUGCGUGACGAUGUGACGAAAAUUCAGACAAUUGUAUCACGGGAAAAAGAGGAAAAACGAAGCCAAGCAUAAAGUCGAUUGGGUCAAAGGAUGGACCGAGCCAACAAGCGGAAGAGUCAGGGUCCCCGUUGAAAGUUCCGUGGGCGUUUAUGCAACCAAUGAGUUGCCAAAAUGAUAAGAGCUUUCUUUUCUGAAGUCUCGUGCCAGGCCGUGCACUGCCUACCCAUUACGUCCAUGCUUACGAUAAAUGGGGAAUUUCCUAUUAUCGCCUUUCAACACUCCACCGUAUAGCAAGCCUCGUCAACCUAACACUCAGGUAUCUCCCUGCCGUAUGGUGAAAAGCUUUGUCCCGAACUCCCAUCCCAAAAUGUCGUGUAGAGACUAAAACGCCCUCCAUGCUAUGUUGGUGUUCGCAAUAAAUAGCAACCUUGUCAUGGUUUUCCUGGGUAGUUAUUUAAAUUACAUCUUUUUUUUUUUUGUGAUCAAUUUAUACCAAUUUAAUUGUUUUAAUCCUUAUUAUAUAGAAAACUGAAUACAAUGCUAUCACUGUUACACUUGAUUAACUCA